GUUGAUUUCUCUGCUGCUGUUAUUUCCAGUUAAAGUGUCAUCUCACUUGAAUUUGCUAUCAGAACUUAUUUAGACUGAUUUGGAAACGUACGAAGCUCAGUCCCAUCGCUGUCUUGCGCAGUGUGUUCCAUGUAAGGCAGCAAAACCCAGCAGUGUGAGCCCUCGUCUUGCAGCUCCUCCUGCGACAGCUGCCAGAAGGGGGGAUUUUUCACAGACUUUUUAUUUUCAGGACGAAGAGCCCAUCAGCAAACCCAGCACAGCAACACGUGCUCCUCCAGCGCCCAGAGGAUAUAAUAUGUCAAACUGGAGCUGUUUGCAGAUGAGAGAUAACAACUGUUGAAAAAAAUUAAAUUAAGUGCCUUUAGAAAGCGUUAGCUGAAGCGCAGAAACAAAACAGCUGUGGCUGCAACACCUGGGAGUGAGUGUGAACUCGAGGAAUGCAGGAGGGAGAUAAUAUCUUGCUGUUUCACCCAGCAACAGCUCCUGGAGGCUGCCCAAAUCAGCUCUGUUAGAGCAAUUCCAAGACAACCAUCCUCCCAAGUGGUUCUCAGCCUCAGCCUUGGCCAAGGGGCCAUACUGCAGCCUCUACCAACAACGGAUGAGUGAGAUGAGGGAGCUGGCAAGGAAAACUUGCACGAGCACAAAGUGCUGGUAGACAGCAAAGCUCAUAGCAGCUUUUUACUUCGGCAUUAAUCCUCCAGCCCCACAAGGAUACCUCAUGGACUGCUGGGGUAGAGGGCACGGAACAAACCUGGAACCUGUAAAUGUGGCACAUGAGUGCUGUGAUGAGCCUAAAUGAGCGGUGGUUUUGUCAGAUGGGUGAGCAACAGGGGGACACUGCCUAUGGCUGAUGUCUCAGAAGCAAUCUGAUUCUGGUCCUAGCUGGAACUGCAAAUUUUGCUCUAGAUGAUGAAGUGGAGGCCACGAUGUCCCAG
ensembl:lncRNA